AACGAACGCUGGCGGCAUGCCUAACACAUGCAAGUCGAACGAGAUCCUUCGGGGUCUAGUGGCGCACGGGUGCGUAACGCGUGGGAAUCUGCCCUUAGGUUCGGAAUACAGUUAGAAAUGACUGCUAAUACCGGAUGAUGACGUUAAGUCCAAAGAUUUAUCGCCUGAGGAUGAGCCCGCGUAGGAUUAGCUAGUUGGUGUGGUAAAGGCGCACCAAGGCGACGAUCCUUAGCUGGUCUGAGAGGAUGAUCAGCCACACUGGGACUGAGACACGGCCCAGACUCCUACGGGAGGCAGCAGUGGGGAAUAUUGGACAAUGGGCGCAAGCCUGAUCCAGCAAUGCCGCGUGAGUGAUGAAGGCCUUAGGGUUGUAAAGCUCUUUUACCCGGGAUGAUAAUGACAGUACCGGGAGAAUAAGCCCCGGCUAACUCCGUG
rnacentral:rRNA from 1 species